ACAGAGAUAGCUUGCUAUCUGCUGACGAGCGGCGGACGGGUGAGUAAUGCUUGGGAAUAUGCCUUAUGGUGGGGGACAACAGUUGGAAACGACUGCUAAUACCGCAUAACGUCUACGGACCAAAGGGGGGGAUGCUUCGGCACCUCCCGCCAUUUGAUUAGCCCAAGUGAGAUUAGCUAGUAGGUGAGGUAAGAGCUCACCUAGGCGACGAUCUCUAGCUGGUUUGAGAGGAUGAUCAGCCACACUGGGACUGAGACACGGCCCAGACUCCUACGGGAGGCAGCAGUGGGGAAUAUUGCACAAUGGGCGAAAGCCUGAUGCAGCCAUGCCGCGUGUGUGAAGAAGGCCUUCGGGUUGUAAAGCACUUUCAGCGAGGAGGAAAGGUUAGUGGUUAAUAGCCACUAGCUGUGACGUUACUCGCAGAAGAAGCACCGGCUAACUUCGUGCCAGCAGCCGCGGUAAUACGAGGGGUGCAAGCGUUAAUCGGAAUUACUGGGCGUAAAGCGUGCGUAGGUGGUUUGUUAAGCAAGAUGUGAAAGCCCUGGGCUCAACCUGG
rnacentral:rRNA from 1 species